CCUACGGGGGGCAGCAGUGGGGGAUAUUGCACAAUGGGGGGAACCCUGAUGCAGCGACGCCGCGUGGGUGAAGAAGGGCCUCGGCGCGUAAAGCCCUGUCAGCAGGGAAGAAAAUGACGGUACCUGAAGAAGAAGCCCCGGCUAACGCCGUGCCAGCAGCCGCGGUAAUACGUAGGGGGCAAGCGUUAUCCGGAUUUACUGGGGGUAAAGGGGGCGGAGACGGGGCUGCAAGCCAGGAGUGAAAGCCCGGGGCCCAACCCCGGGACUGCUCUUGAAACUGCGUGGCUGGAGUGCAGGAGGGGCAGGCGGAAUUCCUGGUGUAGCGGUGAAAUGCGUAGAUAUCAGGAGGCACCCCGGUGGCGAAGGCGGCCUGCUGGACUGCACCUGACGUUGAGGCCCGAAAGCGUGGGGAGCAAACAGGAUUAGAUACCCGGGUAGUC
rnacentral:rRNA from 1 species